AAAGGAAUUGACGGGGGCCCGCACAAGCAGCGGAGCAUGUGGUUUAAUUCGAAGCAACGCGAAGAACCUUACCAGGUCUUGACAUCUAGGUAAAACCUGAGAGAUUAGGCGUGCCCUUCGGGGCGAUCUAAGACAGGUGGUGCAUGGUUGUCGUCAGCUCGUGUCGUGAGAUGUUGGGUUAAGUCCCGCAACGAGCGCAACCCUUAUUGCUAGUUACUAACGCGUAGAGGCGAGGACUCUAGUGAGACCGCCGGGGACAACUCGGAGGAAGGUGGGGACGACGUCAAAUCAUCAUGCCCCUUAUGACCUGGGCUACACACGUGCUACAAUGGCUACUACAAAGGGAAGCGAACCCGUAAGGGGAAGCAAAUCCCAUAAAAGUAGUCCCAGUUCGGAUUGAGGGCUGCAACCCGCCCUCAUGAAGUCGGAGUUGCUAGUAAUCGCGGAUCAGCAUGCCGCGGUGAAUACGUUCCCGGGCCUUGUACACACCGCCCGU
rnacentral:rRNA from 1 species